GUUAAUGUAGUUUAAAAUAAAAC
rnacentral:tRNA from 1 species